CCUCUCUCUCUCUCUCUCUCUCUCUCUCUCUCUUUUCUCACACUUACACACGCGGAAGAACAGCGCGCGGCGGAUCACGGGGCGCAGCGGCGCAUCUGCUCUCUCGUUGAAGCGGCGGAACGGCGGAGAGGAGCAACCGGCGCUCCCUGCUCAAGCUUCCUCCAUCUUUCAAUCUGUUGCUGAAGUGCAGGAGUGGAAAACAGCUCAUGUAAAUCCCUGUCUGCCUUAUCACCUCCACUAAAAAUUCUUCUGACUAAAGUUGAAGUGCUGCUUCCCGUUGUGAUGAAAUAGAGCCAGAGCCUCACAGCUUGGGUAACUCCGCUAGAAUUCCCCAAAAGACUCAAGAAGAGGUUGUCUGAAGAAAUAGCAGAAUUCAAGCCAUGACCGGUGACAGGGAUUUCUGAUGUGGGUGUUUGCGUAGAGUAUUCCUUUUCAACACAAGACAACAAUAUCCUCGGACAAAGACACGCUGCCUGACUUCUUACGGACAUAGC